rnacentral:ncRNA from 2 species
ACCACAAGCUAGGGGUGCUCUUGAUGGAGCUGAGAUGGCAAUUUGCCAGACCCUUUGAACCUGAGAGUUAAGACUCACGUAGGAAAGCUGAUUGAACGUGUG